GGCUCCGUAGUUCAACUGGAUAGAAUAUCAGAUUUCGGCUCUGACGGUUGGGGGUUCGAAUCCCUUCGGGGUCAC
rnacentral:tRNA from 1 species